rnacentral:lncRNA from 1 species
ACCUUACCUUCUGCACAGCCUUUGGUGACACAUUGGCCAUUGGCCAGUCUGAGCUCCACCCUGAAAGGUCCAGGAGCAGCUACCGGUGGAGGUGGAGGAACAGAGUUGACCUCCACAACCAGAGCUUCCACAGAAGUUCCAGAGUACCUACACUGGAAGAGAAACCUGGACAACAGACGGUGAGCUUGUAGCAUUUAUCAGAGAAGAACAUUCACACCAAGUCAUAGAUCCCUUACUCAAAAUGACUGUCCCUUGUGAUGGAACCAAACGGUCCAAUCCCCACUUCAUAAGAGGAGGUCAUUCUGUUUUCAUACACCACAUAUCCACGGUCCUCCUGUGAAUAGCAACACUGUUGGCAUACAGUCUGUAAUCAAUGCAGAAUAAAACCAGAAGCAGCUGCUUACCAUCAUGCUCGUGCCACAUGCGGUCACAGGGAACUGGUAUAUAGCAAAGUAAGGUGUGGACUCCACAGGAGUGCAUGAUGGGUCGUUUCCACCCAGUAGACAUACCGAAUCCAGACUCAGUCGAGGCAGAGUAACAUCUCUAGCCACCACUACCACAAACUGACCAUCUCUAAUACACUGGACAGUCACUGGAACAAUGUACAAGAGCAGGUGAAGGCUGAGGAUCAAUUUAACAUGAACCGAACAAUAUUGAGAACGCUUACCUGCCCUUCCAUAGUAACACUGCUGUCUCUUAAAGCAGCAGUUGAUAGCUUCACACUCAGCAGCACUGAUCCCAGGUUGUCCACAUUGGAUCUGCUCAUAAUCAGCUACAGCACAUUUAUCAAGGGGCUCUAUCUGCACCACUGGUUUCUGAAGCUGAAACUGCGGAGGAAACUGACGGUUUGUUUGUUGUUGAACUGGCUGCUGAAACCGCUGGUCAGUUUGUUGUUGAACUGGCUGCUGAAACCGCUGGUCAGUUUGCUGAAUCAUCAGAGCUUGAGGGUUCUGGAGCAGAUUACUCCACUUUGUAACAGCAUGACAGAAUACACAAACUGCCAAAAU